rnacentral:rRNA from 1 species
CAUAGGUUAAUGAGGCGAACCGGGGGAACUGAAACAUCUAAGUACCCCGAGGAAAAGAAAUCAACCGAGAUUCCCCCAGUAGCGGCGAGCGAACGGGGAGGAGCCCAGAGCCUGAAUCAGUGUGUGUGUUAGUGGAAGCGUCUGGAAAGGCGCGCGAUACAGGGUGACAGCCCCGUACACAAAAAUGCACAUGCUGUGAGCUCGAUGAGUAGGGCGGGACACGUGGUAUCCUGUCUGAAUAUGGGGGGACCAUCCUCCAAGGCUAAAUACUCCUGACUGACCGAUAGUGAACCAGUACCGUGAGGGAAAGGCGAAAAGAACCCCGGCGAGGGGAGUGAAAAAGAACCUGAAACCGUGUACGUACAAGCAGUGGGAGCCUCUUAAUGGGGUGACUGCGUACCUUUUGUAUAAUGGGUCAGCGACUUAUAUUCUGUAGCAAGGUUAACCGAAUAGGGGAGCCGAAGGGAAACCGAGUCUUAACUGGGCGUUAAGUUGCAGGGUAUAGACCCGAAACCCGGUGAUCUAGCCAUGGGCAGGUUGAAGGUUGGGUAACACUAACUGGAGGACCGAACCGACUAAUGUUGAAAAAUUAGCGGAUGACUUGUGGCUGGGGGUGAAAGGCCAAUCAAACCGGGAGAUAGCUGGUUCUCCCCGAAAGCUAUUUAGGUAGCGCCUCGUGAAUUCAUCUCCGGGGGUAGAGCACUGUUUCGGCAAGGGGGUCAUCCCGACUUACCAACCCGAUGCAAACUGCGAAUACCGGAGAAUGUUAUCACGGGAGACACACGGCGGGUGCUAACGUCCGUCGUGAAGAGGGAAACAACCCAGACCGCCAGCUAAGGUCCCAAAGUCAUGGUUAAGUGGGAAACGAUGUGGGAAGGCCCAGACAGCCAGGAUGUUGGCUUAGAAGCAGCCAUCAUUUAAAGAAAGCGUAAUAGCUCACUGGUCGAGUCGGCCUGCGCGGAAGAUGUAACGGGGCUAAACCAUGCACCGAAGCUGCGGCAGCGACACUAUGUGUUGUUGGGUAGGGGAGCGUUCUGUAAGCCUGUGAAGGUGGCCUGUGAGGGUUGCUGGAGGUAUCAGAAGUGCGAAUGCUGACAUAAGUAACGAUAAAGCGGGUGAAAAGCCCGCUCGCCGGAAGACCAAGGGUUCCUGUCCAACGUUAAUCGGGGCAGGGUGAGUCGACCCCUAAGGCGAGGCCGAAAGGCGUAGUCGAUGGGAAACAGGUUAAUAUUCCUGUACUUGGUGUUACUGCGAAGGGGGGACGGAGAAGGCUAUGUUGGCCGGGCGACGGUUGUCCCGGUUUAAGCGUGUAGGCUGGUUUUCCAGGCAAAUCCGGAAAACCAAGGCUGAGGCGUGAUGACGAGGCACUACGGUGCUGAAGUGACAAAUGCCCUGCUUCCAGGAAAAGCCUCUAAGCAUCAGGUAACAUCAAAUCGUACCCCAAACCGACACAGGUGGUCAGGUAGAGAAUACCAAGGCGCUUGAGAGAACUCGGGUGAAGGAACUAGGCAAAAUGGUGCCGUAACUUCGGGAGAAGGCACGCUGAUAUGUAGGUGAAGCGACUUGCUCGUGGAGCUGAAAUCAGUCGAAGAUACCAGCUGGCUGCAACUGUUUAUUAAAAACACAGCACUGUGCAAACACGAAAGUGGACGUAUACGGUGUGACGCCUGCCCGGUGCCGGAAGGUUAAUUGAUGGGGUUAGCGGUAACGCGAAGCUCUUGAUCGAAGCCCCGGUAAACGGCGGCCGUAACUAUAACGGUCCUAAGGUAGCGAAAUUCCUUGUCGGGUAAGUUCCGACCUGCACGAAUGGCGUAAUGAUGGCCAGGCUGUCUCCACCCGAGACUCAGUGAAAUUGAACUCGCUGUGAAGAUGCAGUGUACCCGCGGCAAGACGGAAAGACCCCGUGAACCUUUACUAUAGCUUG